rnacentral:rRNA from 1 species
AUUGAACGCUGGCGGCAGGCCUAACACAUGCAAGUCGAGCGGAUGAAGGGUGCUUGCUCCUGGAUUCAGCGGCGGACGGGUGAGUAAUGCCUAGGAAUCUGCCUGGUAGUGGGGGAUAACGUCCGGAAACGGGCGCUAAUACCGCAUACGUCCUGAGGGUGAAAGUGGGGGAUCUUCGGAACUCACGCUAUCAGAUGAUGCUAGGUGGGAGUAGCUAGUUGGUGGGGUAAAGGCCUACCAAGGCGACGAUGCGUAACUGGUCUGAGAGGAUGAUCAGUCACACUGGAACUGAGACACGGUCCAGACUCCUACGGGAGGCAGCAGUGGGGAAUAUUGGACAAUGGGCGGAAGCCUGAUCCAGCCAUGCCGCGUGUGUGAAGAAGGUCUUCGGAUUGUAAAGCACUUUAAGUUGGGAGGAAGGGCAGUAAGUUAAUACCUUGCUGUUUUGACGUUACCAACAGAAUAAGCACCGGCUAACUUCGUG